UAUCCUGCCUGGUAGUCUGAUACUUCUGCUGUAUAAACCUGAUGUCAUCAAAGCUGGUGGAUCCAGAGAUGAACCAAAGCUCCUGAGCCUGCCUGCCCUCUUGUCCCACUGCACGUGAGGCCCCCGAGCUGCCCGUGCUCUUGCUGUGCAAUGGAGAAAGGCUGCAGUGAAAAGGGAGGAAGCAGCAAGACUGGACUGUUUAAGCUCUCACAAACACCUCUUAUGACAGUGACAUGUGCCAUACCCUGUGUCCAAGGAGGAGAAAAGAAUCUUCCUGAGUCUCUUCCAGGGUCUGAGCUCCUGUGAGUGUUCGUCUCAGCUCUGUUCUACUCCGUGAAGCUCUGCUCCUCCCCUGCCACUUCAGAGUCAAGCCCCCUCCCCAAAAUCUGGGCUGUUUGGCAUUUAUUUCUGCAGCCGAAGAGAGCUCCUUUAGCAGUGGAAUCUGUCCAAGAGGCAAUGGGAAUGGUGCUGCCCUUAUGAAUUCAAUGGGAUCAGGCCCUAAUAGAUUUCAAUGAGGUCAUCUUGCUCAGCGUGAAUCAGGAAGCACUUCACAAUCCAGUGUAUCGGCAAGAGCUUGUGACGUUCUUCUCCCAGAGCUCCUCUGAUGAGUGGAGCAAUGCAGACAGUUUGUGCUAAUGCUGUAGCAACAGAACAAGAGAAUGAUGACCUGAUGGAAUCCUUUAAGAACUGUAUGGCUAUAGAAGAUGAUGGUCCCUGUCCAAGAGAAUUUUAUAGCCUUAAGGUAAGUUUCAUCACAGCUGAAUCAUCAAGGAGCUGAUUGUAAUCUGAAUGUUAAUUCUUUUUGCUUAAGUGGGUCAUCGGUAAAUUGCUGAAGUUAGAGAAUAAAUUACAAGGAAUUUUAUGUACCAGUGUUAAAAGAAGGAUGAUUUUUGGAACUAAAAAAAAAAAAAAAAAAAGAAGGGGCUUUAGCAAUACA